CUCUGGAUCAUUAAGUUUGUUUAGCAACCGAUUUUUCAAAUCUGGGGUGCAGAAGGCUGGACAUCCAACCAAGUAUGAUAAGUCAGGCAACGAGCAGUUUUCAAUUGAACUAAGCAAAUGGGUUUUCCACGAGAGAGGUCAUCUUAAGGCUGUGAAUGUUAGGCAUCACAAAGUUGGGGAAACUGAUGAACCAGCAAUUUACAGGAUUAAUGAUGAUUUGGAAUAUUCCGUUGAGAUUUUCGAGUGGUCU